CACGCAGACCGCCUUAUCGUCGUUUUGAGAAAUCAAAAGGGAGGAAAGUCCGGACACCACAGAGAAGCAUAGCGGGUAACACCCGUCGGCGUUAGAAAUAGCGUUAGGACAAGUGCAGCAGAAAGUAUGUACAGGUAAUGCUGUAGUGAAAACAGGUAAACUCUAUGCGGUGAAAUAUCAAGUAUAUCAGCAUUUAAGAGCUUCUCGUUCGUUGCUGAAGGGUAGAUAGCUUGAACUUAUGAGUAAUUGUAAGUCUAGAUAAAUGAUAAGGUAUUGUUAGUAAUAACAAGAACAGAAUCCGGCUUACAGGUCUGCAUUUUUU
rnacentral:RNase_P_RNA from 1 species